AGCCCGGGAAACUGGGGCUGAUCCUCGAUAGAUGACCUCAUCUGGAAGGAGUGGUCGUCCAAAGGGGGACACGGGUAUGCUCUGUGUCAUCCGCUCCAGGAUGGGACUGCGGCCGAUCAGGCUGUUGGCGGGGUAAUGGCCCACCAAACCUGUAACCGGUACGGGCUUUGAGAGAAGGAGCCCGGAGAUGGACACUGAGACAAGGGUCCAGGCCCUACGGGGCGCAUCAGGCGCGAAAACUUCGCAAUGCGCGAAAGCGUGACGAGGCUAGUCCGAGUGCUCUCUGCUAAAGAGGGCUUUUCUCGGCUGUAAAUAGGCCGGGGAAUAAGGGGAGGGCAAGUCUGGUGUCAGCCGCCGCGGUAAUACCAGCUCCUCGAGUGGUCGGGACGAUUAUUGGGCCUAAAGCACCCGUAGCUGGUUCCGUAAGUCCUCUGUUAAAUCCAGUCGCUCAACGGCUGGUCUGCAGGGGAUACUGCGAGACUAGGAGGCGGGAGAGGCGGACGGUACUCCGCGUGUAGGGGUAAAAUCCUUUGAUCCGCGGAAGACCACCAGUGGCGAAGGCGGUCCGCCAGAACGCGCUCGACAGUGAGGGGUGAAAGCUGGGGGAGCGAACCGGAUUAGAUACCCGGGUAGUCCCAGCCGUAAACGAUGCGAGCUAGAUGAUUCAGUCGCAGUUCGCGAUUGAAGUGUCGCAGGGAAGCCGUUAAGCUCGCCACCUGGGGAGUACGGUCGCAAGGCUGAAUUGCGAUCAGAUGUUUUCUGUUCGCACAGUUCACUUAAAGGAAUUGGCGGGGGAGC
rnacentral:rRNA from 1 species